CUACAAAGGAAUUGACGGGACCCGCACAAGCGGUGGAUGAUGUGGAUUAAUUCGAUGCAACGCGAAAACCUUACCUACCCUUGACAUGUCCGGAACUUGCCAGAGAUGGCUUGGUGCCCGAAAGGGAAUCGGAACACAGGUGCUGCAUGGCUGUCGUCAGCUCGUGUCGUGAGAUGUUGGGUUAAGUCCCGCAACGAGCGCAACCCUUAUCAUUAGUUGCUACGCAAGGGCACUCUAAUGAGACUGCCGGUGACAAACCGGAGGAAGGUGGGGAUGACGUCAAGUCCUCAUGGCCCUUAUGGGUAGGGCUUCACACGUCAUACAAUGGUCGGUACAGAGGGUUGCCAAGCCGCGAGGCGGAGCCAAUCCCACAAAGCCGAUCGUAGUCCGGAUUGUUCUCUACAACUCGAGAGCAUGAAGUCGGAAUCGCUAGUAAUCGCAGGUCAGCAUACUGCGGUGAAUACGUUCCCGGGUCUU
rnacentral:rRNA from 1 species